rnacentral:sRNA from 2 species
AAUAGUCCUCGUUAGGCGAGGCUCCUAUACAAACACAGGCUGCUGCCCGGGAACAUCGAAAGAUGCCUACGGGUAGAACAGGGAUUGUCGGCAUAAGGCUUUCCAUAAGGCAGCUAAGAAAUGAUGAUAUUUCUUUACGUUGUAUAGUGCCAAAACUCAACCAGGGGGAGCCGGA